rnacentral:misc_RNA from 1 species
GAUGAAGAACGUAGCGAAAUGCGAUACUUGGUGUGAAUUGCAGAAUCCCGUGAACCAUCGAGUCUUUGAACGCAAGUUGCGCCCGAAGCCGUCAGGCCGAGGGCACGCCUGCCUGGGCGUCACACGCCGUUGCCCACCCCGCGCCCCGCACCCAACUCUUUGGGAGCGACCGCGGGGCGGGCUGAUGAUGGCCUCCCGUGCGCUCCGCCGCGCGGUUGGCCCAAAUACCGAGUCCCCGGCGACGUGCGCCACGACGAUCGGUGGUUGAGAGACCUCUGUCGCAAGUCGUGCGCGCCCGUCGCGUCACGCGGGCUCGCAUAGCGCCUCGCGCCGCACCCGGUGCGGAGCUUUCAACGCGACCCCAGGUCAGGCGGGGUUACCCGCUGAAUUUAAGCAUAUCAAUAAGCGGAGGA